UUUAUAUAGCACCACAAAGUUCAUCCUCCAAAAUGGUUAAGUUGAACCAACACCUUUCUAAAACUGUUUCAACAACAACUGAACAUUAUAAGCUUCUUGAAAGGCAGGAUUUAUUGCAGCACUGCUGGAUUCAACUGAAUUAGUUUUAACUCACUGUACCUAAUAAACUGGCCAAGUGUAGAGCCACACUGAGCUACGUGCAGUACACACUUGAAGAGCUGGUUACAUUUCGCUGAUGGUGAUUCCCAGCUCCACCCCUGGUUUCUUUGGGAGCUUCACGUGGAACGUUCCGGAGCUGGGGAUGACCGACUCUGAGACGGAAAGAGAGACGGAGACUGCAGACGCCAGAGGAGCAGAGCUAAACACAGACUGACUGUCAACCAGCCAAAACGAGACGAAACAGACACCAGGCUGCCGCGUGAGCUGAGCGGUGAUGGACGAGUCUCUGAGCAGCUGAUUGGUUUCUUCCAGGGUGGAGUCUUCGGUAGGAACUCCAUUUAUGGACAAAAUCCUGUCACCGAUCUGCAGGAUACCACACCUGCAAAC